AUGCCUCUCUCUUUAUAUCAUAGACUUGAUUUGAAUAAGUUGACACCUACUGAAGGGCUGUUAUUGAUUGCAACAAAGGCAAUGUCACUUUUCAUGUUAAUGGUAAUGAGCAUACGGUACACUUUCCGAAGAAACAACCUCAAGUCCACACUAUCAAUUCUAUUCGAAAAAUUCCAACAAUUACUAUUGGAAGUUUUGAAUUUCCUCUUCCUACUGUCAAGAAAAAAUAUGUGGAUUCCUUUUGAUGAGCAUGAGAUGGAUGAAUUUAGAAAGCACAACCUUCUGCCGUGGGCCGCAGGCAGGCAAGUCUGGGGACCCCCGUUCCCAGGACGCCGACAACAACUGAUCAGGUUGAAGAGAAGAGAAGUUCAGCUACAGAUUUGCCACAAGGGGAAACCUUCACACAACAAGUUCUAA
rnacentral:rRNA from 1 species